GAGCUGCCAAAUAAAGGGUGAU
rnacentral:miRNA from 1 species